UAAUCUCCCACCACCACCACGAUUCAUAUCUGGAGAAGCUUUGUGGAAUCCGUGGUUUUGUCCUUCUCAUACUAUGGUUGCUGGCCUAUGGGGAAUCAGGAUGGACAUUGAGCAAAGUGGCAGAAGCGGGUGGCGGGUGUUGUGGCCGAGGAGCUCCACCACACACCCACAUGUUCGCUUGUUGACCUGGCAGCUCUUCACCGAGGUUUGCUGCUUUGGUUUGGCUGGGAUGUGUGCCUCCAUGGUUGGGUUGUGUGGACUGCUGGCAAGGAUGGAGAAGCAUAGGAAGGUGUCACCAUUGCAUAGAUUCUAUUAUAGCCAUGCUAGCUACUUGGCCAUGUCAUUUUGUUCACACAGGUGUGUCCACAACAACUCUGAUAGUGCCAUGCCGGACACGGUAUCAUUAAACAAGGACUCUUUUGGCGGACUCUUUUAUCACCUGUUUCCUGGCGCUAAGUCUCCAAACAGUUCAGCUUUGCUUCAGUCCUCUCUCGAGGCCAGAGCAGUAACAUGAGAAAAAACAUCGUAUUAGCUUCUGUAUUAACAAGUGUAAUUAUGUAGUACUAUAUUUUGAUCGGUUUUGUUUCCUCUAUACUGCCAAAACAUCAUAAUUAGACUGCAUUACACAACAGCAAGAAUAUUGCCAUACAACUCAGAUUCAUAUAACUUACAGUAUGUUCCAUGAUAAAUGUAUCCAACAGGGGCUGGACAUAUUGUUUUUUGCUUCAUAGUUCAUUUUGAAUGAAAAUAACAAAUGGUUUCUGCCUCCAUGGUUGACUUGUUUUGUCAUUGUUCUCUCCGUACAAAGGCACCAAUACCUAACAUUUAUCCUAAUAGAUUCACGGGUCCAAGAAUAGGGUCAGACCGGACCGGACCUGUUGAAUCUUGAGUGACACAGAUGUCAUGUUGGUGUGAGGUGGGGAUUUUUAGUUUAGAAGAGCUUGAGACCUUGUUACAUUUCAAAGUAGCAGCUCACAAAUGGGCACCCCAUUUGGUCAUCAUGUGGGAUCAUGGGUUUAUCAUACAUGUUUUGUCUAGCACAACUAUCAAAAUCCCCUCACAGUUCGAUUUAGCAUACUAUUUAGACCCUGAUGCUCUUAAACUAACGCAUGCAAAAGCAUUUGAAAUCACACUAUUCAGUACAACAUUUUCUUCAAAAUAUCACUUUUGGAUAUCAAACUUACUUACAGUCCAGGACAAAUGAAAUAUAAAACUUAAUUGCAUCCAUUAGGAAAUAGGAGUCAAUGUAGUUUCUCAUGUACUUUUCUGCACGAGAGGUGGUAAUGGAACAAAUAAAUAUAUCUCCACUGCAAUUCAGAAAUGUUUUUGUGUGUUCAUUUCAUGCCCAGAGUCUUGCAGGUUGUAAGUGUGUCAAUAUAUUUAUGUGGUUCCUUAUGUAUUUGUUUCAUAUCUAUUUCAGGUUUUCCUCUGUGGCCUCAAAUCCAGCUUAUCGUUGGUUCCAUAUUGAAUAAAUGUCUGCAGUCUUAGUUUGCACUCUGUUCUGCAACAUGGAAAUUUGGACUGGUCCACUUCAUCUCGAGCCGCUGGUCCACUGCUUCUCUCGUUUUAUAAAAAGGUAGAUAUUGUUUUUUCCUGGCUCAUUGGUACUUAUAGCCUUAUAGGAGGCUGAUUCUUAAAUUGGCUAAUAAGCAAGGCUUAAAUGUAGAUGAUUGUCCUUUGUCACUCUUUAGUAAUAUAGCUGACUUUUUUUUCAUUUUUUGUUCAUGGCAAAGACGCCUAUGUGUGUGGGCGUGUGUGUUGCCAUCGAAUCAGGAUUAAAAGUUUGGGUCUCCUCUGAUUUAUUUACAUAUGUAUCUUCCACUACCUGAACUUUCCCUGUCCUACAGAGCAUAUACAUGCAUGUGUUGGAAGGCUGAUUAGAGACUGGUCUUUACUACCGGCUGCCGUCUAUCUAAUCAAACAUUUACUUCCUCCACCUAUUCGGAUGCCUAUGCUUGGCUGUUGUAAUUGCAGAUGGAUUUAUGAUGUUGAGCAGAUCACCAUGUUGAAGGCUGAGCAAUUAGAGACGAGUGUUAUUGCCAAAGUAAGGUGAUGAUAAAUAA